rnacentral:rRNA from 1 species
UGCGUAGGUGGCUUGGAAAGUUUGAUGUGAAAGCUCAGGGCUUAACCCUGAAAUGGCAUUGAAUACUGCCGGGCUGGAGGUUUGGAGGGGGGACUGGAAUUCUUGGUGUAGCAGUGAAAUGCGUAGAUAUCAAGAGGAACACCAGUGGCGAAGGCGAGUCCCUGGACAACACCUGACACUGAGGCACGAAAGCUAGGGGAGCAAACA